GAGGGCGUGUAUUAGGUAAAUCCUGUACACAUUAUCCCGAGCGUUGACGCAAUUUCCUUCUACGGAGGGAGAGAGAAUGCAAACCGCGGUUUCUAGAAAAUCUUCUACGCAUCAUCUUUAUAGACGACCGUACCGCAAACCGACACAGGUGGUUAAGUCGAGAAGACUAAGACGAACGGGUGAGAGAUCCUCAAGGAACUCGGCAAAAAAGCGGCCGUAAGUUAGCGAUAAGGCCUGCCCUUUGCCCGCAAGGGUGAGGGGCCGCAGUGAAAGUUUUUCUGGCAACUGUUUACCAAAAACACAGCUCCCUGCAAACUCGUAAGAGGAAGUAUAGGGGGUGACACCUGACCAAUGCCGGAAGGUCAACCAUGGUUGGUCCAUUGUCGCAAGAUGAUUGGCUGGACUAUGUAAGCCCCGGUGAAUGUCGGCGAUAACUAUAAUCGUCCUAAGGUUCCGCGUUUGAGCUUCGGCUCGAGCGCGGAAGGACUAGGACGAUUGUAGUGGUAAACAACAUCAAGCUGCCUUGUCUUGUAGCAAUACAAGAAUUAGUCCAAUCGUAGCCAUAUGCUGGGAAGCGCGAAAGCGUGAUCAGCAGGGAAGAUUUGUGUGCUGAAUGAUGGGAAUGGUAAGAUCCGAAUUCGACAAGUCCAGAGAGGGGAUCGUGAAUGUUAAUCGAUAGCCCCCUCAAAGGAUAUUUGGAGAAAUCCUACGAAUUGCACGGAUACAGCCAAGUUGCUAUUUUCAUCCGCAGGAGCGACCAGUUCGCUCCUGCCCAUCAUUCAGCACACAGAAACCCUCAGAUACCAAACGCUACGCUCCGCGAAAGUGGAUGAAGUUAUGGUACUUCGUUGAAAGGAACGAACAGCGUAAUUCCUUGUCGGGUAAGGAAGUUGCCCGUUCUGGAAGUGAUUCCAGAAGCAAAAUCUGCUAUAACGGUGAACUCCUCGCUGGAGCGCCAUGAAGGGUGGCGCAGUGAAGGCAGGACAAUACCGUGGGAAGUCGUUCCGAGCGUAAGCGAGGGAUUGACCCCGUAUCGACUUCGGUCGCCAACAUCCAUUGGCGACCGAGAUGGUGCUACCAUGUAGUAAUACGAUGACACGCCAUAAUACGCAGACGCUGAAGACGAAACAGAGAGAUGUGAACGAAUAUAUUUCCGGCUUUUCUGACGGAGAAGGAUGCUUUUCAGUAUCUUUCUCCAAGCGAGAUAAAUUCUUGAUUGGAUGGGAGACAAAACCAAGCUUUUGCGUGGGACAAAACCAUGAUAGAGCCGAAGUCUUGUUUCUUAUGCAACAGAAGUUCGGGUGUGGAUUCAUGAGAAGAGAUAUGAAAGACAAGACUCUCAAAUAUGAGGUUCGAAGUCUGAAUGAUCUUCUCAGCAAAGUGAUUCCACAUUUUGAGCAGUAUCCACUUAUGUCAGGUAAAGCAAAAGACUUCAAAUUGUUUAAACGGGUAUGCCUUCUUAUGGAGAAGAGGAAGCAUACGACGUUAAGCGGUUUGAAAGAAAUCACCCGACUCGCAUUUCAAAUGAAUCCGAGUGGGUUGAGGAAAUAUACGCGUGCAAAGAUUCUAGCUGUGGCUCGUUGUCAGAUGAAGAUAUAGUCAGUGCCCGUAGAAAUACGGGAAGAACAUGAAGUUCCGACGUGCACGAAUGGUGUAAUGACUGGAAAACUGUCUCGAGGACUCGCUCGGUGAAAAUGCACUUCCGGUGAAGAUGCCGGAUACCUGUAGUUAGACGAAAAGACCCCAGGAGCUU
rnacentral:rRNA from 1 species